GAUGGGAAACGGGUUAAUAUUCCCGUACUUGGUGUUACUGCGAAGGGGGGACGGAGAAGGCUAUGUUGGCCGGGCGACGGUUGUCCCGGUUUAAGCGUGUAGGUGUGUGUUCCAGGUAAAUCCGGUUCACUUUAACACUGAGGCGUGACGACGAGGCACUACGGUGCUGAAGCAACAAAUGCCCUGCUUCCAGGAAAAGCCUCUAAGCAUCAGGUAACACGAAAUCGUACCCCAAACCGACACAGGUGGUCAGGUAGAGAAUACCAAGGCGCUUGAGAGAACUCGGGUGAAGGAACUAGGCAAAAUGGUGCCGUAACUUCGGGAGAAGGCACGCUGACACGUAGGUGAAGUGAUUUACUCAUGGAGCUGAAGUCAGUCGAAGAUACCAGCUGGCUGCAACUGUUUAUUAAAAACACAGCACUGUGCAAACACGAAAGUGGACGUAUACGGUGUGACGCCUGCCCGGUGCCGGAAGGUUAAUUGAUGGGGUCAGCGCAAGCGAAGCUCCUGAUCGAAGCCCCGGUAAACGGCGGCCGUAACUAUAACGGUCCUAAGGUAGCGAAAUUCCUUGUCGGGUAAGUUCCGACCUGCACGAAUGGCGUAAUGAUGGCCAGGCUGUCUCCACCCGAGACUCAGUGAAAUUGAACUCGCUGUGAAGAUGCAGUGUACCCGCGGCAAGACGGAAAGACCCCGUGAACCUUUACUAUAGCUUGACACUGAACAUUGAGCCUUGAUGUGUAGGAUAGGUGGGAGGCUUUGAAGUGUGGACGCCAGUCUGCAUGGAGCCGACCUUGAAAUACCACCCUUUAAUGUUUGAUGUUCUAACGUGGACCCGUAAUCCGGGUUGCGGACAGUGUCUGGUGGGUAGUUUGACUGGGGCGGUCUCCUCCUAAAGAGUAACGGAGGAGCACGAAGGUUGGCUAAUCCUGGUCGGACAUCAGGAGGUUAGUGCAAUGGCAUAAGCCAGCUUGACUGCGAGCGUGACGGCGCGAGCAGGUGCGAAAGCAGGUCAUAGUGAUCCGGUGGUUCUGAAUGGAAGGGCCAUCGCUCAACGGAUAAAAGGUACUCCGGGGAUAACAGGCUGAUACCGCCCAAGAGUUCAUAUCGACGGCGGUGUUUGGCACCUCGAUGUCGGCUCAUCACAUCCUGGGGCUGAAGUAGGUCCCAAGGGUAUGGCUGUUCGCCAUUUAAAGUGGUACGCGAGCUGGGUUUAGAACGUCGUGAGACAGUUCGGUCCCUAUCUGCCGUGGGCGCUGGAGAACUGAGGGGGGCUGCUCCUAGUACGAGAGGACCGGAGUGGACGCAUCACUGGUGUUCGGGUUGUCAUGCCAAUGGCACUGCCCGGUAGCUAAAUGCGGAAGAGAUAAGUGCUGAAAGCAUCUAAGCACGAAACUUGCCCCGA
rnacentral:rRNA from 1 species